AUUGAACGCUGGCGGCAUGCCUUACACAUGCAAGUCGAACGGCAGCACGGGAGCAAUCCUGGUGGCGAGUGGCGAACGGGUGAGUAAUAUAUCGGAACGUGCCCAGUCGUGGGGGAUAACGUAGCGAAAGCUACGCUAAUACCGCAUACGAUCUAUGGAUGAAAGCGGGGGAUCGCAAGACCUCGCGCGAUUGGAGCGGCCGAUAUCAGAUUAGGUAGUUGGUGAGGUAAAGGCUCGCCAAGCCGACGAUCUGUAGCUGGUCUGAGAGGACGACCAGCCACACUGGGACUGAGACACGGCCCAGACUCCUACGGGAGGCAGCAGUGGGGGAAUUUUUGGACAAUGGGCGCAAAGGCCUGAUCCAGCAAUGCCGCGUGCAGGAUGAAGGCC
rnacentral:rRNA from 1 species